rnacentral:rRNA from 1 species
AAGACGGCCCUACGGGUUGUAACUGCUUUAUACCGGAAUAACCUUUGUUCGUGAACAGGAGCUGAAUGUACGGUAAGAAUAAGGAUCGGCUAACUCCGUGC